UACGUAGGGCGCAAGCGUUAUCCGGAAUUAUUGGGCGUAAAGAGCUCGUAGGCGGUUUGUCGCGUCUGCCGUGAAAGUCCGGGGCUCAACUCCGGAUCUGCGGUGGGUACGGGCAGACUAGAGUGAUGUAGGGGAGACUGGAAUUACCGGUGUAGCGGUGAAAUGCGUAGAUAUCGGUAGGAGCACCAGUGGCGAAGGCGGUCUCCUGGGGCAUUCUUGACGCUGAGGCGCGAAAGCUGGGGGAGCAAACGGG
rnacentral:rRNA from 1 species